UAAAGAGGUCUGACGUGUAGUUCCAGCUACUGCAGGCUCUAGCAGCAGAUGAGCACAUUGAUAGUCACCGCAGUUUUGUUUUUGCCUCUCUUCCCAGUCAAUCACUAUCCCACUCUGACCUCCAUACCUGUGUGUGCGCCCUGGUCCCUGAGGACAGGAGUCUCUCCCUGCUUCAUCUUAUCUCCAACAUCUGGUGCUGGAUGCUCACAGUUUUCUUGGAGAAUUCCUCAUCUCAUGAAUCUUGGUGGGCAGCAGGGACCACUUCCUACUACAGAAGUUGACAAUGCCCAAUACUCACUGUUCCAGGUCCCUAGGCAGCUAAGGCUCAGGUUCUUCAUCCCCACUCCUGAAGAAACUAAUUUAAUACCUUUAAUCGAUCGCUGACAAGUACACCAAUGAAGUGGAGGCAGCAGCACCUGUGAGAACCACAAACUAAGGAUCUCCAAGGUCCACUCCACCCCACCUACUCUGAUCUUCUAAUGGAAGACAGAGACAGUUUUAUUGCUGUAUCCCUUGUGCCCAAAAAGUUCCUAGCACACAGGAGGUAUGCAGAAAAUAUUUGUACCCAAGGAAAGGGUAAAGAGAAACUCUCUGCAACUUUUCUGUAAAUCUAAAAUUAUUCUAAAAUAAAAAGUUCACGUAAAACAAUCCUGGAAAGAAGGAGGGAAGGAGGAGGGGGAGGGAGGGAUUUUAUCCACACCACAUUAACUAAGAGUCUCACGUGACUCACUGUAUGUUGAAAAGCACUUCCCAGCAUCCUUUUCCUCUGCACACCCACCUCACCUCCAUGCCCACCCCGUUAUUGGUCUGCCAUCGUUGAUCUGUCAGAGGAGACCUGCAGAGCCACCAUGCUCUAAUAGCUACAAAAGGGCUUGUGGCCUGUCUUUCAGGAGCAAUGUUCCUUGUGCUUGGCACUGCAGAGACCUGAGUUCUACUCAGCAUCCACACUUCAUUUCACGGGGCCUCAGUUUCCUCAACUAUAAAAUAGAGCUCCUCUCUCACUUCAGUACCUUGCAAAAUUAUUAUAAGAAUCAAAUGAAAUGAUAAGAGUUGCCCUAAGAGUGAGCACUGUGUGCCAGGUUCCAUGCUAAAUACUUUAUGAGCAUUCUCUUCAUUAAUUUUUACAACCUUGUAAGAUGGGAUAAUAAUGUCCCUAUUUUAUGGAUAAGGAAACUCAGGCUUCCGGAGAACUUGAUCGAGGUCAUACAGCCAGUGAAGAUGAGCCCAGGACAUCUGACUCCAAAGACCCCUGAAUUCCUCUGCCUUAUGAUUUCUAUGCACCAACUAUAAAUAUUAGAGAAAUGUACAUCUUUGUUUCGAUUAUUUCCAUCCCAUCUUUCCCUCUACCCUAUCCCUCUUCUUUCUCCAGUUCCCCAAACUGACCCAGACCAGACCCUAGAAGUUCUCAAACAGGAGCUGUGGAAAAAUUGGCAGGUCAGCAGCCCCGAGGAUGGCGCUGGGAAUCCCCCACUCCCACUGCUGCCACAGGGAAUCAAUGUAGACAGGCAUCCAGGAAAAGAAAGGAUUUGCCUCUCUGAGCACCCAGAGGACUAAGUCAGGCUCACCUUCUCUUCUUCACCUCACCCAGGAGUGCACUGGCAAGGCACUCCUCUUUGGCAAAAGAGACUUUGGAUCAUUAGCUUGUGCUGUUUUCCUAGCUGCAUUCAAACAAGCAGGUUCUAAAUAUCUGAAUUGGUUUUUUUUAAGCAGCUGGCCACACCCAUUCAUCCGUACCAGGCAGGCCCCUGCUGAGGCUCAUGCAGUCUUGAUGUGGCCAGAGAACCCAGGAGGCUGGGCAGCAGGCUGUGCUGGGUGGGCCCAAUUGCUCCCCAGCUGGACCUGGUGGGGAGGCUUUUGGUGGUGUUGCUAGGCAACCUGGGUAAUUGGAGAGGCCACAGAUUGGGCUUCUGGGCCACAAAGAUUAACAGCCUCCUUCAUCACACUGCAAACCAUCAUUAUGCCCAGUUCCAGAGGCCUGCAGCAAGCUCUGUGGUUAUAGCCUGAAAGAGUGCUUUUUUAGCUGCAGAAAUUAAGAACCAGCUUUUCAAUAUUAUGGGUUUGUGGCUGUGGUUGUUUCUUUUUGCUACGUCUCUGAGGAUACACUUGGAAUAAAUAGACAAAAGAUCUAAAAAUAAAAAAUGCCUUUACAACCCUCUUUUCCAAAAGUUUUCCUUCUUCCUGAAGCAAAACACACUUGGCCUCAAUUGUGAGGGCAACUCAGGUAGGGACGCUCUGUUUCCUGAGGUGUCUGCAUGCCCACUACACAUUAAAAGCUUCUUCCUUAGAAUCCCACAACUGUGGCUGUCUUUCAGGUUUAGGGGACCAGGGCCUUGAUCAUGUACAAGGCCACUCAGCACAAUAAUGUCUUUGUGUCUCUCCCCUUCUAAGACAAUCACAAAAACUCCCCUUCCCAAUCCACAGAACCUCUCUCACUUACAUUAUUUCAAUGGACCCUCGCCUGUGAAGAAGACGUCAUUAUUAUUCUCAUCCUACAAAUGAACAUCUAAGGCAAAACGUGGCACCCAUAAUGACAUGCCUAGUCACAGCAAAGCUGGGGUACCUACCCAUUUUUCUGAAGCCAGAUCCUAGGCUCUCCACUACACCACACUGCCUCCCCAAAGAGCUACUUGAGAUAUUACAUAUAUUUUAGUACCCUAUUAAUAAUAUG